rnacentral:lncRNA from 1 species
UCCACAUCGCUAUUUCCCACCGCCUCUUCUCCACCAUCGACUCCGACGAGUCCGCCCUCGAUGACGCCCCCCCGGGAUCCACCUCCGAGUCCUCCGCCCUCCAGCGGCUCGUCUCCGACUGGUCCGCCUUCCUCCUUUUUAAGGGUUUCUACCUCGUCGCCCUCCUCGUCCUCGCCCUCCUCUCCACCGCCGCUGUCGUCUACUCCGUCGCCUCCAUCUACACCGCCCGGGGCGAUCUCGCCUUCCGCAAGGUGCUCACCGUCGUCCCCCGCGUCUGGCGCCGCCUGAUGGUCACCUUCCUCUGGGCCUUCCUCGUCCUCCUCGCCCUCAACUCCGCCACCAUCGCGCUCCUCGUCUUCAUCCUCCUCAUGGGUGGCAACUCCUCCACGGGCCCCGUCCUCACCAUCUUAGUCGUCAUCCCGCUCUACCUAGUUGCCCUCGUCUACGUCAGCGUCGUCUGGCACCUGGCCAGCGUGGUCUCCGUGCUGGAAGACGCCCGCGGGCUGGAGGCGAUGCGGCGGAGUCGACGG